GGCGCAUUCGUCUAGGGGUUCAGGACGCCGCCCUCUCAAGGCGGAGAUCGGGGGUUCGAAUCCCCCAUGCGCCA
rnacentral:tRNA from 1 species